GACGAACGCUGGCGGCGUGCUUAACACAUGCAAGUCGAACGAAGAGCGAUGGAAGCUUGCUUCUAUCAAUCUUAGUGGCGAACGGGUGAGUAACGCGUAAUCAACCUGCCCUUCAGAGGGGGACAACAGUUGGAAACGACUGCUAAUACCGCAUACGAUCUAAUCUCGGCAUCGAGGAUAGAUGAAAGGUGGCCUCUACAUGUAAGCUAUCACUGAAGGAGGGGAUUGCGUCUGAUUAGCUAGUUGGAGGGGUAACGGCCCACCAAGGCGAUGAUCAGUAGCCGGUCUGAGAGGAUGAACGGCCACAUUGGGACUGAGACACGGCCCAGACUCCUACGGGAGGCAGCAGUGGGGAAUCUUCCGCAAUGGACGAAAGUCUGACGGAGCAACGCCGCGUGAGUGAUGACGGCCUUCGGGUUGUAAAGCUCUGUUAAUCGGGACGAAAGGCCUUCUUGCGAAUAGUGGGAAGGAUUGACGGUACCGGAAUAGAAAGCCACGGCUAACUACGUG
rnacentral:rRNA from 1 species